GACGAACGCUGGCGGCGUGCCUAAUACAUGCAAGUAGAACGCUGAAGGAGGAGCUUGCUCUUCUGGAUGAGUUGCGAACGGGUGAGUAACGCGUAGGUAACCUGCCUGGUAGCGGGGGAUAACUAUUGGAAACGAUAGCUAAUACCGCAUAACAGUAGAUGUUGCAUGACAUUUACUUAAAAGGUGCAAUUGCAUCACUACCAGAUGGACCUGCGUUGUAUUAGCUAGUUGGUGGGGUAACGGCUCACCAAGGCGACGAUACAUAGCCGACCUGAGAGGGUGAUCGGCCACACUGGGACUGAGACACGGCCCAGACUCCUACGGGAGGCAGCAGUAGGGAAUCUUCGGCAAUGGACGGAAGUCUGACCGAGCAACGCCGCGUGAGUGAAGAAGGUUUUCGGAUCGUAAAGCUCUGUUGUAAGAGAAGAACGAGUGUGAGAGUGGAAAGUUCACACUGUGACGGUAUCUUACCAGAAAGGGACGGCUAACUACG
rnacentral:rRNA from 1 species